AUUAGAAUAUUCUUUUAAAGCUUUAAUACUACAAUGUUGGUUGCAAUUUCACUUCCUUCCAUCUCCUAAUAAGCAUCUAAUCAAUAAGAAGGAAUAAAAGUUCAUGUCUUUUCUUUUCCCUUGUAAUUCCUUUUCUAUUCCCUUUCAACUUUUGGAUCGCAUGCAUAGUGGUAGUUUUCAGUAUAUAUGGUUCAUAUUGCAAGUCUUGUCUCUGUUUUUGGGUGACAUGAUUCAUUGUGUCACUUAAAAUCUGUUCUUUUAUGUGGUGGAUUCUAGCAAAUAUGUUAAAAUUGUACGAGUUAGUAAGUCUUUGUGGUUGUGCUUUGUGUGGCCUUUAGUGUAUCUCCCCUCAACAUCUCUUAUCUGUUUACUUAAUAGCACUUUAUUGCUUUUAAGAUUAUUACUAGAAA
rnacentral:misc_RNA from 1 species